rnacentral:lncRNA from 1 species
GGAAGGGAAGGGAGAGAGGGAGGGAGCCUUUGCUGGCUGAGAGUACAGAUUUGCACAUGAUGAAUCAAGACAGUCUGAGGGGAGAGGAGGAAGGAAAGUAGUUCCCAGUGUGUCUCUGUCCUCUCUCCUUCUCAGGGCUGCAUUUUUAAAGCAGGGUGUGAUGGUUUGGAUAUGAGGUGUUCUCCAAAAGCCCCUGUGUCAGUGCAGGGAUGUUUGGAGGUGAAAUGAUUGUGUUAUGAGAGCUGUAACUUCAGCAGCCCAUCCUAGCUGGAGCCCACUAACUGGGUGGUGACUGUAGGCAGGAGGGGCGUGGCUGGAGGAGGUGGGUCAGUGGCCUGAGGGGUGCAUCUUCCCUGUGGGCCUUUCCCCCUCCUCUCUGCUUCCUGGUUGCCAGGAAUGGAGCUACUUUUCCCCACCCUGCCCUUCCCCCGUGAUGUUCUCUCUCAUCUUGGACCCAGAGCAAUGGUAUCAGCCAACCAGGGACUGAAACCUCUGAAACUGGGAGCCCAAACAAACCUUUCCUUCUCUAAGCUGUUCUUGUCGUGUGUUUGGUCACAGCUUUGAAAACCCAACACACAGGCCGUCUGUUUUAUUAGGGAAUCCCACACUGGCCGGUGUGUUCACUGAGGCUCUCCUCCUACAGUGAUGUGGAAGGCUUCUACAACGUGCAAACUGGCUCUCCUCCCCUAUGUUGGAAGAGGGUUGUAGAGGUUGGAGUGAGAAAGGACAUUGUUGGCAAAGAGUAGCCAACAAGAAUUGCUUUUUUUUUUUUUCUGUCUUUAUUUCUUUCUCUUUAAAAAUUGGUUCAAUGCAAAUACCCUUAAAACUCAGAGGGAAAUUGUGGGCAGAAAGAUUUCACUAAUCUGUAACUAUGGGGAGCCACUGCAGGUGUUCAUGAUAGUUCUGUAAUAAUCAAGAGGAUAACAUUUUAACAUCAAAAGUUUUGAGUUUUUUUAAAAGAAAAAAACUGUUGGGGCUGGGAAUGUGGCUCAAGUGGUAGCGUGUUCGCCUGGCAUGCGCGGGGCGCUGGGUUCGAUCCUCAGCACCACAUACAAAGAAAGAUGUUGUGUCCGCCGAGAACUAAAAAAAAUAAAUAUUAAAAAAUUUUCUCUCUCUCUCUCUCUUAAAAAAAAAGAAAAAACUGUUCUUUUUGGUCUCAUGAUAUAAAAUUAACCUUUUAGUCAGUCCUGUUGAACACUUUAUCUAAGGGCUGGGAGUGCUUGCCUUAGCAUCCUGAGGUCCUGGAUUCUAGCCUUAGCACUCGACAAAAAAAUCCAAUUUAAAAGCUUGAAUUUGGAUUUUUAAUAUUUGUGACUUUCUUAAAGCUUAUAAUUAGAAAGUUUGGGUAAAAAGCAAAUAGUAGCCCCAAGUUCAAGGUAUUAUUGCUCAAACUUAAGACAACAAAGAUUUAUGAAUGCAUGUAUCUGUUAAUAUGUAUUUAUGUUCUGUGCUAAGACAUAAAAUUUAAAAAGGGACUUCUGCAUGACACCAUUCUCCAAUAUAUCACUAAGGUUGUGAAAUUCCUUUAAGAAUCAAAAACUACAGGGCUGGGGAUGUGGCUCAAGCAGUAGCGCGCUCGCCUGGCAUGCGUGCAGCCCGGGUUCGAUCCUCAGCACCACAUACAAACAAAGAUGUUGUGUCUGCCGAAAACUAAAAAUAAAUAUUAAAAAAAAA